CCCUUAGAUGUUCUGGGCCGCACGCGCGCUACACUGACGAUGGCAACGAGUUUUUCCUUCGCCGAAAGGUGUGGGUAAUCUUUUGAAACAUCGUCGUGCUGGGGAUAGAUCAUUGCAAUUUUUGAUCUUGAACGAGGAAUUCCUAGUAAGCGCGAGUCAUCAGCUCGCGUUGAUUACGUCCCUGCCCUUUGUACACACCGCCCGUCGCUACUACCGAUUGAAUGGUUUAGUGAGGACUCCUGAUUGGCGCCGCCGCCCCGUCAACGGAGCAGCGGACUGCCGAAAAGUUGUUCAAACUUGAUCAUUUAGAGGAAGUAAAAGUCGUAACA
rnacentral:rRNA from 1 species